rnacentral:rRNA from 1 species
AUUGAACGCUGGCGGCAGGCUUAACACAUGCAAGUCGAGCGGAAACGAUGGUAGCUUGCUACCAGGCGUCGAGCGGCGGACGGGUGAGUAAUACUUAGGAAUCUACCUAGUAGUGGGGGAUAGCUCGGGGAAACUCGAAUUAAUACCGCAUACGACCUACGGGAGAAAGGGGGCAGUUUACUGCUCUCGCUAUUAGAUGAGCCUAAGUCGGAUUAGCUAGAUGGUGGGGUAAAGGCCUACCAUGGCGACGAUCUGUAGCUGGUCUGAGAGGAUGAUCAGCCACACCGGGACUGAGACACGGCCCGGACUCCUACGGGAGGCAGCAGUGGGGAAUAUUGGACAAUGGGGGAAACCCUGAUCCAGCCAUGCCGCGUGUGUGAAGAAGGCCUUUUGGUUGUAAAGCACUUUAAGCAGUGAAGAAGACUCCGUGGUUAAUACCCACGGACGAUGACAUUAGCUGCAGAAUAAGCACCGGCUAACUCUGUGCCAGCAGCCGCGGUAAUACAGAGGGUGCAAGCGUUAAUCGGAAUUACUGGGCGUAAAGGGAGCGUAGGUGGCUCGAUAAGUCAGAUGUGAAAUCCCCGGGCUCAACCUGGGAACUGCAUCUGAUACUGUUGAGCUAGAGUAUGUGAGAGGAAGGUAGAAUUCCAGGUGUAGCGGUGAAAUGCGUAGAGAUCUGGAGGAAUACCGAUGGCGAAGGCAGCCUUCUGGCAUAAUACUGACACUGAGGCUCGAAAGCGUGGGUAGCAAACAGG